rnacentral:rRNA from 1 species
UGAGUAACACGUAUCCAACCUGCCGUCUACUCUUGGACAGCCUUCUGAAAGGAAGAUUAAUACAAGAUGGCAUCAUGAGUUCACAUGUUCACAUGAUUAAAGGUAUUCCGGUAGACGAUGGGGAUGCGUUCCAUUAGAUAGUAGGCGGGGUAACGGCCCACCUAGUCUUCGAUGGAUAGGGGUCCUGAGAGGAAGGUCCCCCACAUUGGAACUGAGACACGGUCCAA